UCUACGGGUGGCAGCAGUGAGGAAUAUUGGUCAAUGGGCUUACGCCUGAACCAGCCAAGUCGCGUGAGGGAAGACUGCCCUAUGGGUUGUAACCUCUUUUUUCAGGGAGCAACGCCGGCUACGUGUAGCCGGACUGAGAGUACCUGAAGAAAAAGCAUCGGCUAACGCCGUGCCAGCAGCCGCGGUAAUACGGAGGAUGCGAGUGUGAUCCGGAGUUAUUGGGUUUAAAGGGUGCGUAGGCGGUCCGUUAAGACAGCGGUAAAAUUGCGUGGAUCAACCCCGUCGAGCCGUGGAAACUGGCAGCCUUGAGUUGGCGAGAGGUACGCGGAAGGCGCGGUGUAGCGGUGAAAUGCAUAGAUAUCGCGCAGAACUCCGAUUGCGAAGGCAGCGUACCGGAGCCAGACUGACGCUGAGGCACGAAAGCGUGGGGAUCGAACAGGAUUAGAUACCCUAGUAGUC
rnacentral:rRNA from 1 species